CUCAAGGAGCCAAUUUAAGAAGUUAUGUGGAAGAAAGUUUCACUGCGUGAGAACUUCCUUAAUAAACCCCAGGUGUCCGCACAAUCCUCUGAAGGGCUCUGCAGUCUAAGGCGUGGCAGUUUCCAUACCGGACUGUAAUACAGCUGGCCAGAACGCUCUCGAUGGUGCCUCUGUAGAAGGUGGUAUAUUCUCCAAGAAUUCCAGUGAUAAACAACUGAUUCCAGCAGUUUACCUGUGUUGCCUUUAAGUGACUAAAGGAGAGUAAUGCUGUCCAGGCUCACAGAGGCAACAGUUAUGGAGCAGUAGUGCCGGCAUACCAGCCUGCCAUUCUCUAGUCCUGUCAACCCAACAAGACUGUUGUAUGGAGACGCAAUGUGCAUUGACGAGGUGUUACUGGACUUCUGUCCUCAAUGAGCCUGUGUGGAAGACCACGAGAGACUGGCAGGGCUAUGGACUAGGGCACUGCUCCUGGGUUCCUGCAAGCGACAGUCCUGACCCACCCCUCAUCCAGGUAUUCUAUCUGAACUACUCUCAUCCUCCUACACCUGUUUCAGAGGCUGCCUGGAAAGUUUGCCACAUUACAACAGUCCAGUCUCUGUCUGGUUAUGUUCUUUUUGUAAGACCUGUUCUGGGCAUCAAUAGGAUGUUAAUCAUUUAAA